UACGGGGGGGGCAAGCGUUGUUCGGAAUUACUGGGCGUAAAGGGCUCGUAGGCGGCCAACUAAGUCGGACGUGAAAUCCCUCGGCUUAACCGGGGAACUGCGUCCGAUACUGGAUGGCUAGAGUUCGGGAGAGGGAUGCGGAAUUCCAGGUGUAGCGGUGAAAUGCGUAGAUAUCAAGAGGAACACCAGUGGCGAAGGCGGGUCCCUGGACAACACCUGACACUGAGGCACGAAAGCUAGGGGAGCAAACAGG
rnacentral:rRNA from 1 species